rnacentral:lncRNA from 1 species
UUGACAACGACACCCUACUCUGUCCUCAAAGACUUCAGCAUCUCUAGGGUAAGGCGCUCCUUUUCAGCUUCAUAAAAACUUGAUAUAGCCUGCAACAUUCGUAGAGCCUUCAUCCAAGCUUUGAGGGUGGUGGUUUUGUGCAAAGGACUGCACCGCAAUUAGAGGGAUACAAAAUCCCUUCAGUGCAAUUUCCUUUCUCGAUUCUCCUUAGGUGGCAGUUCUGGAAUCCCUUUCUCCAGCACAGAAAGCAGAGCUGAUUCUUGAUCCAACCAGUGGGGCUCUAGAGAAUGAGACGUUGGUAACGGAGGUGAUGAUUGAAGUUUUGUCAUCGUCAGGAGAGGAGCAGCUCGAUAUGUUCUUUGAGACUUUUGUCAACGUCACCAAAAAGAUGAAUCUUACUAGCCUUCCUCAAGCAGUGUCAGAUACAAUUCUGAAUUUGACAAUGGAUGCUCUGGUGCCCCGCUUCCAGACCUUCACUCAACAGGACUUUACCCUGUGGUUCCAGAGCUAUCUCCUUAUAUUUCUUCCUAGGAUUGGGACAAACACCCUUUCAGUCAUCCCCAAGAACAUCAGCUGCGACUCCUAUCGAGAAAUAGUAAAAGGGUUCAAUAAUGUGUACAGUGACCUCUCAAUCACACAGUCUGGACAGAUCUUCAGUUUCAUACAAGACUACCUUCAGUACAAGUCUGGUAAAGGUGUGUGUUUUGGGUUACAUUUGAUGUAUGUUAGUGUGUACUGUAUGUAGUGAAUUGCUUCAUUUGACCAGCCUCUAAUCUCUUUGAAUAGGAAGAAACCAAAAUACUGGAAACUGAAGGUCAAAUUCCUGUUUCCAAAUCAAGUUUUAAUUCACUGAACAAAUCUGGUUAAAACCGUAUGAACAGUUUGUAGCAUUUGGAUUUCAAUGAUGCACAAAAAGUACUGCACUUGUGCAGAUUUCCUUAUCAAGGAGGGUGUUCCCCUUUAGCAUGUUGAACCUCCUCCACUCGCGGCAGAAGCAGCAAGAUGAUUGGUUCAAAUUGUUGAAAGGUGGAGCUUUAUUAGUAAACAGAUGCCAUGAUGAACCUGUCGAGAAUUUUUAACCAAUGACUUGUUUCCUCACUUAAUAAUGCUGUCUCUACAUGAGUUCUAGAGUUUUCUAAAAAAAUUCCCUGUUUUUUUCUCUCUAUAGAAUCACUUGGUCUGAGUUGCUAUAGUGGCGGGAGCUUCUUUGUCUUCCUCAAGAGCUUCUUCCUCAGUUUUGGGUUUCCUGACCUGAGUGGAGUUCUGUCCAUCAUCCCG